CGCUUCACAUCACUCUGACGGGAGGCUGCUGCCGCUGCAUAGAUGUGAAUUAAGGCUCCUUGGGCUCCGCAGCACCCACAGGGACUGGGGUACCUGGUUCAGACCCCGCCCGGGCACCACGCUGUACAAGGCUGGGUGCUGGGACACCAUCUGGGAGCUCAACACCCGCGAGCACUGAAGGCCCUUGAAAGCAGCUAAGGGCCAGGUCUGAGGAUUUCAGCAGAGAAGAGGGUGGGUCACAGGCAAGCCUUCGGAAAGAAAAGGAAUCCCUCUUUCCAGAGAUCACACAACUCACACCCAUGACUGAGGCAGAGCCUGGGCCCCUGUUGAGAGUCCCAUGCCUUGUUACUCAAAUUAUAUACGAUACCAUAACUGCCAGCAGAGGGAAAAAGCUAACUUUGUGAUGACUAGACCACAGCCAUGAAAGGAUCUGCUCCAACUCGAGCCAUACAGAAUCCAUGUGUGUAUGUUGGUUGUUCAGUCAUGGCCGAUUCUUGGCAACCCACCCCAUAGACUGUAGCCUGCCAGGCUCCUCUGUCCAUGGGAUUCUCCAGGCAAGAAUACUGGAGUGGGUCGCCAUUCCCUUCUCCAGGGCAUCUUUCCGACCCAGACAAAAACAAGUAAGAACGAAGAACUGAGGAGUUAAAAAAUGACCAGCUCUCACAAUCCUGCAGGCAGAUCACAAAGGCAAGAUAACAUCGGAAGACAGAGAAAGCCAAUGCACGCAAAGGAGAAUGAUGUGGCACCCAACUUCCUGUCUCAGUGAUUCACUGAGAUUCUUUCCCUUUUUUCCCCUUUAAAAACUGUCAUGGCUGAUCGGCUAUACCCCAGUACAAAAUAUGUUUGGUGUUAAAAAAAAUAAUAAUGAUAAUAAAAAAUAAAAACCGUC